GAUUAACUCCGCGGGGAGCAGCGGCGGAGGCUGAGCCGGCGCUCCCGCCACGCAUCGCCUGCUUCCCAGCACGCUCAGGAGUUUUGGAGCCAACCUCCCGGCAGCUAAUCCUCCUCGCUGCCGGAGCCGGGGGCGCCGGGAAGAGCCGGCAGGGCGGCAGGUGAAGGGAAGAGAACGGGGAGGAGUGCCCACACACACACGCGUGCACCCCGCACACGGCAUCGGGCAGCGGCGGCGGAUCGGCGGAUGCGUGCGGGGAGCUCCGCCGGGAGCCCAGCCCGGAAUGAAACAAGCUGGAGCAUCAGGAGAGAGGAGCUGUUCGCUUGGAAAAGUCUUUAAGGAAUCGAUCGGGAGAUGCCGGUAAGAGAAGUUGCUGAAAGCCAAGCUGGAAUGGCCAGGAGCUGCGCGCCGCCGGCCCCGUCUCACACCGGGGCAGCUGAACUUUGUGGGGUCUGAACAUUUUUCUCCCCUGCGAACGCUCUGGGCAGCGCUGACGGGAGAGCCAGGACAGCACCGCGCACCUUGAGCCUGACAGAGCCUGGGGUAGUGCCAAGGGGGGAUUUCUGUCUCAACAAGGACCAUCGCCUCUGAAAAAAAAAAAAAAAAAGCUGGAGAAGGGCAAUUAAUCUUUCUUUUCCAGAUGACUGAAAAUAUCUACAGGAUCCUGUCUCUCCGGUUUUCAUUGGUGAGUAGCAUAAGAGACAGGCAACUGAGGAACAGAAAUGAUAUCGGUCAAAAUCAUUCCAGCACCUACUUUUUCCUAAGGAACUUCAUGCCCAUAGGGGUUUUCUGUGGGCACUUCCAGGAGUGAGACCAAGGUACCACAGAUGUGUCCCUACCGGAUCAUGUAAGAAUUUGCAAAUGAGAAACGUACCCUAUCCAGACCUUCUCUGCCCGCUUUGCAGUACAUGGUUUGGUGUAAGCACAGCAAUUCUCACCUCUUUCUUUCCCUUUUAAGUCUCUUGAGCUUGGAGACCUCUUUCCUCAUUGCAAUUAUGAUUAUUUGCAACAUCAGUGCCAUCAAAGAUUGGAGCACUUUCCUUUCCCAAAUCCUCCCCAGCGUUAACAAGACUCUGAACUUGGUACAGCAAGUGGAAGCCACCACCAGCUCGGUGUACUCAUACUCGGACAAUGACCAGCUCUACAAGGAGUACAAACCCCCUCCUCGAGACGCCAUUCCUCUGCCCAAGGCUGUCCUCUACCUCCUCAUGGCAGCCCUGGUGGUGGUGGCAGUGGCGUACGCCAUCGUCGGGCAUCUCAUCAAGGACCUCAUUUACGACUUUGUAGAUGCUUCUUAA
rnacentral:lncRNA from 1 species